AUCAGAUAUAUAUAAACACGAAUAGUUAAGAAUCUUUAAUGCGCUUACCUCAGCCAUUUAAAUCAGCCACGCCCCUUUAAAUAGUUCACAGUAUUUGUGUUUAAAUCAUGCCAGCAGAGCCAAUGAACAACACUUUGCCAUUUUUAUUAUGCAGCCGCGUUCUUUGUUAGUCAUGUAUCAGUUUUACUAAUUUACGGUUGUCAUAUUUACACACCUGACACAUUCUUCUUGAUCUUUAAGGACUGGAGUAUGUUUAUUUGUUAUGUUUAUUCAUACAGAAAUGCAGCCUUGCUCCUCUGAGACUCAAGGAAAGAAAUACACCCAGACAUUCUCAGAGGAAUGGAGAUCUGAACAUGAUUUUAAGGACACUGAGAUGCAUAUGAAACUAGAAGUUUAUACACAACAGGAGGAGAAUGAAGAGCAAAUGCACGUGUGCAGUGAAUCAGCAUCUUUAUCACCAUGUAUGUACAAUUAUCAUGAUCAGAUGCCCAGCAAAGACAAUGAAACCCAAAUGAUGGACAAUAUACAGCAGCACAUCACAAAACACGGCUUGAAUGAUUCAGGGGCCAGUGAUGCUUCCAGUGAUGCCAACAAAAUCACAUUCAGCCACAUUGGCUCCCCCAGACAUGAGACACAAACAUUUAAUCUGCCCCUCAGAAAUCAAGAGAUGUUGACCCAGAUAAGAGACAGAUUGGCAGAUGAAGAGCAAAAGAAGGCUGCAGCUCAAGCUAGAUCCCUAAAGCACAAGCAGAAAGUAUAUGGGAAUCCUGAGCUUCAUGAGGCAUACAGAAAAAAGGAGAGAGAGAGAUAUCAAAGACGAAAAUCUCAGGGGAAAGUGAAAUUCGCUAAAGAUCUGAACCCAACAGAACUGAGAAGGCAACAGAAAAAGUGGAGGGAGAAUUCAGCCGCUUACAGGAGAAAGAAAGCAUUUCAGGAGGUUUUAGUCAAUAUUAAAGAAGAAAUUAAUCAAGUCAUCCCAGAGUCAGAGCCGUCCACCUCCUCUGAUCAACAUUAUGGUGUUUUUUAAUGUUCACUGAGAGAUUUGGGCAAAAUAUUCCUGUUUCUCAACUGAUAGAUUAUAUGAGUAUGUCAUUAGCCAGAGCCGAGGUCAUUGGUAGGAUUCCCAGAAAAUGCUCAUCUCAAUGUAUUUAAUGCACUUUACAACAUCUACCAAAUGCAUUAAUGUAAAUAUUCUUUUAAAAAAGUAAACUGCAUGCAUUCUGACAGAAAUACUAGCACAUGCACAUUGAUUCCAUGUCAUCAGUGUAAUAAUUGAAUUAAAAUAUACUUUAGAUUACACAAAUGACCAAGUAUUUAUGAUUCUUUAUGCUCUUGAUGAAUUUUGAAAUAAAAAAAAAAGUGAAUGAAGCA
ensembl:lncRNA